rnacentral:rRNA from 1 species
CCUACGGGAGGCAGCAGUAGGGAAUCUUUCACAAUGGGCGAAAGCCUGAUGGAGCAACGCCGCGUGCAGGAUGAAGGCCUUCGGGUUGUAAACUGCUUUUAUAAGCGAGAAAUAUGAUGGUAACUUAUGAAUAAGGAUCGGCUAACUACGUGCCAGCAGCCGCGGUCAUACGUAGGAUCCGAGCAUUAUCCGGAGUGACUGGGUGUAAAGAGUUGCGUAGGGGGCAUAAUAAGUAGCUAGUGAAAUCUGGUGGCUCAACCAUUCAGACUAUUAGCUAAACUGUUAAGCUCGAGACCGUUAGGGGUAACUGGAAUUUCUAGUGUAGGAGUGAAAUCCGUAGAUAGUAGAAGGAACACCAAUAGCGUAGGCAGGUUGCUGGGACGGUUCUGACACUAAGGCACGAAAGCGUAGGGAGCAAACGGGAUUAGAUACCCUUGUAGUC